rnacentral:rRNA from 1 species
UACGGAGGGGGCUAGCGUUGUUCGGAAUUACUGGGCGUAAAGCGCGCGUAGGCGGCUUUGUAAGUUAGAGGUGAAAGCCCGGAGCUCAACUCCGGAACUGCCUUUAAGACUGCAUCGCUAGAAUCAUGGAGAGGUGAGUGGAAUUCCGAGUGUAGAGGUGAAAUUCGUAGAUAUUCGGAAGAACACCAGUGGCGAAGGCGGUUGCCUGGAGCUUUGCUGACGCUGAUGCGCGAAAGCGUGGGGAGCGAUCCGG